rnacentral:rRNA from 1 species
AUUGAACGCUGGCGGCAGGCUUAACACAUGCAAGUCGAGCGGAGUGAUGGUGCUUGCACUAUCACUUAGCGGCGGACGGGUGAGUAAUGCUUAGGAAUCUGCCUAUUAGUGGGGGACAACAUCUCGAAAGGGAUGCUAAUACCGCAUACGUCCUACGGGAGAAAGCAGGGGAUCACUUGUGACCUUGCGCUAAUAGAUGAGCCUAAGUCGGAUUAGCUAGUUGGUGGGGUAAAGGCCUACCAAGGCGACGAUCUGUAGCGGGUCUGAGAGGAUGCUCCGCCACACUGGGACUGAAACACGGCCCAGACUCCUACGGGAGGCAGCAGUGGGGAAUAUUGGACAAUGGGGGGAACCCUGAUCCAGCCAUGCCGCGUGUGUGAAGAAGGCCUUAUGGUUGUAAAGCACUUUAAGCGAGGAGGAGGCUUACCUAGUUAAUACCUGGGAUAAGUGGACGUUACUCGCAGCAUAAGCACCGGCUAACUCUGUGCCAGCAGCCGCGGUAACAC